AAAGGGCCCGAGCAUGUGCACUUGGAUUUGGAUAAAGGAUCGAAAGUCGGGAACGAACCCGAAUGUGGGCAAGCACUCCAAUUCCAGUGUGCAGGUUUCGAGCAUGUGGUCGGGAAGCGUACAGGGGAGGCACAUGGCACGGCUUGGCGCAUUUCUCUUUAGUUUUAUCAAAAGAAGGUUUUGGUCCUUAAUCGGAUUUUGUAGUAGCUUGUUUAUUUACUUUUUAUUUAUUUCCUACUCGUUUACAAAAAUUCCGGGAGGCCCGUAACCCUGGGGCGCGUCUCCCAUACUUGUCGUUACUUAGAGAUGUGUUUUAUUUUCCAAAUUGGGCUCCGAUUGCAAGCCCAAAACC